rnacentral:lncRNA from 1 species
AAUUGAACACAUACAAGGACAUAGUAUUGGAAUUUGUAGCAGGCAAGGAGAAGAGAGUGAAUUCCUUUAGAGAGCCACAGGUAAUGAUGGCGUCGGUACCUCCCGCCAAGACACACGGUUGACCUCACUGGAGUGCCGUUAUAUUUCCAGCCUGUAUAGAGGUGACAGUGCCGUGACAGAGGUGGUGGAGGUUAUUAAUGCACCAAGGAACAGGUGUGUAAGGUGCGGCAGUGGUGUUGAUAAGGGAUUAGUGUGUAAGGAGGGAAAGAAGUGUGGUGAGCCGAGUGCACGUCUGCUCCAUGUCAACAAACUUAUGGUGACGGCCGUGUGGUGUUUGGUGUUGCUUAUACACCCCAUAAACACACUCAACACAUCCACAACAUGCCCAUAUACACCCAAACACCCCCACACACACAAAGUGAAGUGAUGACAUUCCCGACAGCACCAGCGGCGAGACAAGAGAGCAAUGCAAAUCUUCACCACAACGCCUCACCAUCAUUUAUUUCAGGCUCAGGCGUGUAGAUGGAAGCAGUAGAAGAAAGAA